rnacentral:sRNA from 1 species
UUUUUUUUUAAACAAACCAACUAACUCUGGCAUUUGAAGUACAAGCUUUUAUGCCUUCCCACCCUUUAGCUGAUGUGCUCAAGAUGUUAUUUUGUCAAAAGCACGUGUUAACUUUAUUGUCUUGGUGGCUUUAGAAAGCACCUUCUCUUAGCAUUGGGAGUGGAGCUCCAUGGUAAAGUACUUUCUCAUUCUCUUUCUCACUCUCAUUCUCAACUAAACUGGGUUUUUCUGGCAUCUGGCUUCUAGCACUGUUGCAAAGUCCUUAUCCUCUAGAGAUGCAUACUAAAAGUAUUUGCAAAUGAAAUGAUAGAACAUCUAGAUUGUGCUUUCAGACUCUCCAGCCCAUCCUCCUCCCACACACAAGGAGACAGAAAGAACAAUUCUGGGAACUCUUGGAAAGUGUUACCAUUAUGAGAUGUAACAUUGUUCAAUUAUCCACAGCUGCAGAUUAGCUCAAACCUGAGGGCUUAAACACAACAGGUGUACCUCACAGCCUUUGUGGUUCAGGUAUCUAAGUCUUCUGAGUUCUCCGCCCAUACCAUCACAGUGUAGGCUAGGCUGUGUUCUCCUGACCUGGAGAAGAAUUCACUUCCGUGCUCCUCUGGGUUGCUAGUGAAUUCAUUUUAAUGCAUUUGUAAGACAGCAACCAGUUUCUUGCCAGUUGGCCACUGGAAAGCCUCCACAGCUCCCAGACAGUACCUGCAGCUCCUAGAAGUUACCAAUAGUUCAUUAGCACCUUGGCAUUUCCCAGAAUUCAUUAAGCCAAGAAAAGCCUCCCAGCAAGCAGGCUCCAUACAUUACAGCCAAAUGUACCUGUUCUAUUUAGCCAGAAAGCAAAUCGUAGGUUGCAAGGUGAGGGGACCAAUCGGGGCUAUAGACACUAGGUUAAGUCUGUCCACCAAAGUAUGUAAGGGGGUCCUCUCUCAUCCAUCAUGUUUGCUUAUCUUAAUAUCAGACAAUCCCAUGUAAAAAGAAACAAAGUAUUUGUUUUAAAACUAUUCCUAGUGGGGAGGGUGAAGAGAUGCCUCCGUUAAGAGGUGUUUUGCUCUUCUGUUAACUGUGUUAUCAUCCACCUCAGGUAAAGCCACCAAGCUGUCACCAUCUGUGGCACUUCAAGCCAGCAGCUAGCCUUUCCUGCACUGUUAGUGAUAUCUUUGAUGCCAGUGGUCUUCCUCUGACCUUGGCUGACUUGGUGGAGUCAUUAACAAAGCGGGGUGUUUCAUAAACAAAAUUGGAGGUUUGUUUCUUUCACCUGAGCAGCUCAAACCAUUCUAGAAGCUUCCUCGUUAGUUCUCAGAACACCUUCAGGCAGCCAACGUAGGGGAUGACCCCAGCCACUGUGCAAGGCAACACAUUCAGGUUCCCGGAUAUUUUGUGGUUUCCUGGGUGCACCUUUCAGGGCCAGCAUGGGUGUGCCCUCAGGGUGGUCAGGUGCAUAAGAUCAAAGGAACAGAGUCUUAAGAGAACUCUAGGGAACUUUGGAAUAAACUCAAGACAUUUCAUUCCAAAUAGAAUAUGGCAGAAAAUCAGAGACCUAAUUCUUUGCAACCCAGAGACUGCUUGUGUUCAUGCGGAUUCUCAGCAUGGCUGGAAACAUUUAGCUUCAAAAUGCACUCAGCACACCACAAAACCAAAAUGAGGUAAGGCAGGAUAUUUUUAAUGUGAAAAUCUCUUCUAAUUUUUUUCAAGCAAUUUUCUGUCCUCUGACACCGAAAAUAUUGCUUCAAUGUUUAUAAGCUAGCACAUAUUGAAAACUGGUACCACACAUAAAUGUAGUGAACAUAGAUUAUUCAAAAUCCCAUCACCAUGAAGAAUCGUGAUCAUUCCAUAUAAUGUAUAUACACUUGCUAUUUAACAAAAAAUGGGAAUCAUUGUUGAGCUGCUAUUUUUAGCAUGUAUGCUCUCUUUUGGUGUGUGUUCGUGUGUAUACGUGUAUGUGGAAGCCAGAGAUCAAAAGAGAGAAAGAAGGGGGGGAGGGGGGAGGACAGUGAACAUUAUUCUUUCACUUGCUGCUUAGGUCAUAUCUCUCCGGUUCACUUUCCCAGCUCAAGACAAGCCCGGAGUCACCCACUGCACUGUCUUCAGAUUCGGUCCCCUUUGACACAGACCGCUUCCUUUCUUUGAGUUCCUUCGUCUCAGAAUCAUGGCGGAGUACAGGCCGUGCAUCUUGAAAACACGGAGGUUGUCGGGAUGUCUCCUUAUUCAUUCAGGAUUCUCAGCAAUAGCCUGAUCACUGAAUACAGAAGGGGAAAGCAGACAUCUGAUAACUGCAUGGAAAUAAAAUCUGAAGAUCACUCCUUCUAGAGGUCAUGCCACUGCUGAAUCGUGUUCGCUAUCCCGCACUACGGCACUCGACUGCUGGUGUAUCUGUGAAGUGUUUGCGAGUGGAUCGAGCUGCCGCUGCUGACCUGUGAACUGACCUACUGAU